ensembl:lncRNA LRRC77P leucine rich repeat containing 77, pseudogene
GUUGUUUAUGUAAGAAUUUCAAGGCCACAACUCCAUAUUUGAAGUAAAGUGCUCAUAAAAUUAAUUGCAAGGUGUAGUCCUUCCUUAGCCUGCUUUUUAAUGAGUGCUGCUAAAGCCCUUAGCCUGCCUGUUUACCCUUGGAGUGGAGCAAUGAACUGAAGAUAUUUGAGUGAGUUCAAGAGAGACUCAGAAGAGAAGAAUUGGAGGCAGCAAACAUAGACAGCACUUUUAAUGCUUUUCUCAUAUGCUGUAAGACAUGAAAGCAAUCUAUUGGGAUGAAAGCUGAAAGGAGAAGCGGGACAAGAGAAGUGAAUCCGUGGAAGACCCCCAAAAGAGGCUGCAGAUUCUUAGUGGACAGCUCUCAUAUCCCCUCCAGGGAAAAUGAUGAAAAAUGUCUUCAGAAAAAUAGCUUUAUGAAGGCAAGAGGACUUUUUGCACCUGCAAGACAUGUCUGAAAGCUCCUCAGGUCAAAACACAAGUAGUCAAGAGAUUUGUCCAUCUAAUUCAUCAUACUACUCUGAUCCAAGUGAGACCCACACUGGGUCAGCUCCAUCAAGGAGAAGAACAUUCCACCCACGUUUGGAUUCUGGAAUAUCAUCCUUGCUUCCAUCAGAUUCUUGUAAGUACCUCACUUGGCACAAGGUAGACAUGACGUUCAAGGAAGUCAACUGCGUUGCCCAAGAGUAAGAGAAGGAAUCUCUGAAGAAGAGCAACUUUUCAGACAGGUAGAGUGUGCCUUGCUCCCAAGGAAAAGAGUUCUUGAAAAAAACAAAUGGGAAACAUGGCUACAAGAAAACUGGGAAGACUGCAAGAGUAUUCUCCUGUUUGCCAAACUUAAAAAUGCUGGAUGGAAUCUUGAAGCUACCAGAAGAUUGCUUAUCACCAGAAACCAAUAUUUUUUCAAAAAUAUGCCUUGUAUCCUAAUGCAGUCUGUAUAGAAAGAAAGCAAUCAUCAUUGUUGCUAAAAGCUAAUAAACACAGGACAUGCAUGAUUAAA